UACGUAGGGUGCGAGCGUUGUCCGGAAUUACUGGGCGUAAAGAGCUCGUAGGUGGUUUGUCGCGUUGUUCGUGAAAUCUCACGGCUUAACUGUGAGCGUGCGGGCGAUACGGGCAGACUGGAGUACUGCAGGGGAGACUGGAAUUCCUGGUGUAGCGGUGGAAUGCGCAGAUAUCAGGAGGAACACCGAUGGCGAAGGCAGAUCUCUGGGCCGUAACUGACGCUGAGGAGCGAAAGCGUGGGGAGCGAACAGG
rnacentral:rRNA from 1 species